rnacentral:rRNA from 1 species
UACGGAGGGGGCUAGCGUUGUUCGGAAUUACUGGGCGUAAAGCGCACGUAGGCGGCUUUGCAAGUUAGAGGUGAAAGCCCGGGGCUCAACUCCGGAAUUGCCUUUAAGACUGCAUCGCUAGAAUCGUGGAGAGGUAAGUGGAAUUCCGAGUGUAGAGGUGAAAUUCGUAGAUAUUCGGAAGAACACCAGUGGCGAAGGCGACUUACUGGACACGUAUUGACGCUGAGGUGCAAAAGCGUGGGGAGCAAACAGG